UCUCUCUCUCUAUGUCUCUCUCUCUCCUGACAUCGUCGAUCUCCUGCUGGUAGCAGAACUCGAUCUUUGCUCAGGUGUAUGAAGGUUUAGUGUGUGUUUGAUUGUUUGGGAUCGGUUGAUCGAUCGAUCGAUCGGGGUGAAGCCUAUAUAAUGCUUCAUCUCUCUCUGCUUUUAAUGCUGUUGUUUCAAUUGUUUAUUGCUGUUUCUCCUUUUUAAACCCGUAUAAUUGGAUAUCUUUUUGCGAGUCAUAAUUCUGGUUUGAUUAGAUCUUUCUUCCGGUGGUUUGUUUCUUUCUGAUUUGGAAUGGUAUGUUCACUGCAAACUUUUAGUUUCUUACCUUUUUUUGGUUUAUUUGUGAUCAUGGGUCUGUUAUGAAUUUGUAAAUGAGAGAUUUGAUUUCUUUGUACGAUGUUGGAUAUAUCUCUACCACCAGAUGGGGACUAUACGUCUGCCCCUUUAGCAGGAUUUGGAGUGCUUCAGGGAUGAACAAGUCCCUGAUAUUUAAUUAAAUCCAUCUGUAUCACUUUGUCAGCCGUAUUCUUUGGUUUCUUGCUGAUCAUUGAAGGGUGGAAUAUAUUUUAUUUUAUAUAUAUAGUGUCAGUUUUUUGUAUUUUAGUAUUAUUUUGUAAUUUUGACGAUUGCUUUAUAUUAUAAUAUUAUUGCUUAACGUUGAUGAUGACAAAUCCAG
rnacentral:misc_RNA from 1 species